CUGAGGAGUCCAACAAUAGGACGAAACGGCCGUC
rnacentral:hammerhead_ribozyme from 1 species